rnacentral:tRNA from 1 species
CGCUAAAAAGCUAAACAAGGAAAAGCGCUAGCCUUUUAAGCUAGAGAUUGGUGGCCACCGACCACCUUUAGCGA